CCUCCAUUUUAGCCCAGGACCUCAGAAGGGAAAGCAGCAGUCUGUCCCGUAAGACCAGAAUAACAACACUGACUGAGUGGUUGCUAAGAAACUCCUUGGAGGUAUGGUGAGUGAGCGAGGCAGGGGUUAGCCUGAACAGGUGGGCAGCCAGCACUGAGACCCUGCCCUGUGAGGAAAAAGCUUUAUAGGUUCAAAGUCUGUGAUGUGGAGAGGUUACGAACCAUAACAAUCUAUCAGAAGACAUGACUAGGGGGAAGCCCACUGUCCCUGUAAUGACCCAAGAAAUGUAAGCAGAGAAAUAUUGUCCUUCUCACUGAGUUCAUUCUCUGGGAUAGUUGUGAUUACUGCUUGCAUGAGAGUAUAUUACUUCAGAGUGGGAAGCCCAUUUGUUAUGUAUUUCUGGGGUAUACUGGGUUGGUGAGAAAACAUCAUGGUGUCCCCUGAUAGUCCUUUGACCUAUUGUCUUCUGUGAUGGUGGUCAGAACUCCUUGAACAGAAUUCCUUCCUCAAAGUUCCCUUGAAGGAGGAAAUAGUUGAGGAAUUUGUUAAUGUGUUGUUCUGAUGACUAAGCAUGUUCCAAGAUACUGCUUUGCAUGCCUACACGUGCAUUUACUUGAACCUAGAUUUACUGCGCAGUAAGCUACUGCACAGUAAGGGUUUUUGGGUCAGUGGCAGAGUCGAGGCCCAGCAGCGGGGACGUCCAAUCCUGGUGCUGCUCUAAGCAGAUCCAGGUCCACACCCAUUUGGAUUUGGUGCAAGUGGCAAGCCUAGACCCAGGCAGGUGGUGGUGGACCUGGAGCAGGGGCUGGGCCAGGGGCUCUUGCUGCUGGGAGGUGAUGGAAGAACUCCUUCCAAGAGUCGGGGUCUGCUGUGGGGCACCGGGUGACUGCCAGGGGCCUGCAAGGCUAGGAGCAGGGGCUAGGCAGCAGUGGGUAUGCACAAGUCUACCAGGCACAGUGUAGCAAAACCCCCAGUGUUUCUUUUUUUUUCUUUUAAAAUGCAUUCCCCCCACUUCCCCAACCAUUUCUUACUUUUUCUCUCCCUCUAUUCCAUAUAGAUAAGUAUAA